AAGUCACUACUAGGGAGGUUCUGGAUGUUCUGUCUUCAUCAAGUCACUACUAAGGAGGUUCUGGAUGUUCUGUCUUCAUCAAGUCACUACUAGGGAGGUUCUGGAUGUUCUGUCUUCAUCAAGUCACUACUAGGGAGGUUCUGGAUGUUCUGUCUUCAUCAAGUCACUACUAAGGAGGUUCUGGAUGUUCUGUCUUCAUCAAGUCACUACUAGGGAGGUUCUGGAUGUUCUGUCUUCAUCAAGUCACGACUAAGGAGGUUCUGGAUGUUCUGUCUUCAUCAAGUCACUACUAGGGAGGUUCUGGAUGUUCUGUCCUCAUCAAGUCACUAAUAAGGAGGUUCUGGAUGUUCAGUCUUCAUCAAGUCACUACUAAGGAGGUUCUGGAUGUUCUGUCUUCAUCAAGCCACUACUAGGGAGGUUCUGGAUGUUCUGUCUUCAUCAAACCACUACUAAGGAGGUUCUGUCUUCAUCAUGUCACUACUAGGGAGGUUCUGGAUGUUCUGUCUUCAUCAAGCCACUACUAAGGAGGUUCUGUCUUCAUCGUGUCACUACUAGGGAGGUUCUGGAUGUUCUGUCUUCAUCAAAUCACUACUACGGAGGUUCUGAAUGUUCUGUCUUCAUCAAGUCACUACUAGGGAGGUUCUGGAUGUUCUGUCUUUAUCAAGUCACUACUAGGGAGGUUCUGGAUGUUCUGUCUUUAUCAAGUCACUACUAGGGAGGUUCUGGAUGUUCUGUCUUUAUCAAGUCACUACUAGGGAGGUUCUGUAUGUUCUGUCUUCAUCAAGCCACUACCAGGGAGGUUCUGGAUGUUCUGUCUUCAUCAAGCCACUACUAAGGAGGUUCUGUCUUCAUCAUGUCACCACUAGGGAGGUUCUGGAUGUUCUGUCUUCAUCAAGUCAUGACUAAGGAGGUUCUGGAUGUUCUGUCUUCAUCAAGUCACUACUAAGGAGGUUCUGGAUGUUCUGUCUUCAUCAAGUCACUACUAGGGAGGUUCUGGAUGUUCUGUCUUCAUCAAGUCACUGCUAGGGAGGGUCUGGAUGUUCUGUCUUCAUCAAGUCACUGCUAGGGAGGUUAUGUCUUCUUCAAGUCACUACUAGGGAGGUUCUGCAUGUUCUGUCUUCAUCAAGCCACUACUACGGAGGUUCUGAAUGUUCUGUCUUCAUCAAGUCACUACUAGGGAGGUUCUGGAUGUUCUGUCUUCAUCAAGCCACUACUACGGAGGUUCUGAAUGUUCUGUCUUCAUCAAGUCACUACUAGGGAGGUUCUGGAUGUUCUGUCUUCAUCAAGUCACUACUAGGGAGGGUCUGGAUGUUCUUUCUUCAUCUAUCACUGCUAGGGAGGUUAUGUCUUCAUCAAGUCACUACUAGGGAGGUUCUGGAUGUUCUGUCUUCAUCAAGCCACUACUAAGGAGGUUCUGUCUUCAUCGUGUCACUACUAGGGAGGUUCUGGAGGUUCUGUCUUCAUCGUGUCACUACUACGGAGGUUCUGAAUGUUCUGUCUUCAUCAAGUCACUACUAGGGAGGUUCUGGAUGUUCUGUCUUUAUCAAGUCACUACUAGGGAGGUUCUGGAUGUUCUGUCUUUAUCAAGUCACUACUAGGGAGGUUCUGGUUGUUCUCAUAUUUAUUGAUGUUAAAGAGGCCACUUGGCCAGACAUGCUUGACCCGUGUCUUCUACGGCUUGCUGGGCCAGACAUGCUUGACCCGUGUCUUCUACAGCUUCCUGGGGCAGACAUGCUUGACCCGUGUCUUCUACAGCUUCCUGGGGCAGACAUGCUUGACCCGUGUCUUCUACAGCUUCCUGGGGCAGACAUGCUUGACCCGUGUCUUCUACAGCUUCCUGGGGCAGACAUGCUUGACCCGUGUCUUCUACAGCUUCCUGGGGCAGACAUACUUGACCCGUGUCUUCUACAGCUUCCUGGGCCAGACAUGCUUGACCCGUGUCUUCUACAGCUUCCUGGGGCAGACAUGCUUGACCCGUGUCUUCUACAGCUUCCUGGGCCAGACAUACUUGACCCGUGUCUUCUACAGCUUCCUGGGCCAGACAUACUUGACCCGUGUCUUCUAC
ensembl:lncRNA